rnacentral:rRNA from 1 species
AACGAACGCUGGCGGCAUGCCUAACACAUGCAAGUCGAACGAGACCUCCGGGUCUAGUGUCGUAUGGGUGUGUAACGCGUGGGAACCUUCCCUCAUGUUCGGCAUAACUCUCCGAAAGGGGUGCCAUCACCGGACAAUGUCUUCGGACCAAAGAUUUAUUGCCUCUGGAUGGUCCCGCGUUGGAUUAGCUAGUUGUUAGGGUAAAAGCCUACCACGGCGACGAUCCAUAGCUUGUUUGUGAGGAGGAUCAGCCACACUGGGACUGAGACGCGGCCUAGACUCCUACGGGAGGCAGCAGUGGGGGAUAUUGGACAGUGGGCGGAAGCCUGAACCAGCUAUGCCGCGUAAGUGAUGAAGGCCUUAAGGUUGUAAAGCUCUAUUACCCGGGAUGAUAAUGACGGUACCGAAAGAAUAAGCUCCGGCUAACUCCGUG